rnacentral:lncRNA from 1 species
GCGUCGGUCGAUCGGAAUGUAACCGUACAAAGUAUUGCUAACAGCAAUACUUUUACUUUUGAUAUUUACAGUGCAACGAAUAUCGUGUUAUCAAGGUGCUGAGACGCCGGCAUACAUGCAUCAAAUAUUUUCGUUACUCUCGUGUCUGACCGUUGUGAAAAUUGAUCGCGUUAUUUGCCAGAGUGGUAGUUUUCAGUUACGGUGAAAGACUUUUGGCCUUUAAUAAAUUACAAAUUAAGCAACAAUUUAGUUUCUAGAAUAUAAAAAACAGCAUAAAGUGGAUUUGUAAGCCGUUACGAGCGAUGACGACCAAGCAGUGAAUAUUUCAAACUUGUCUUUGUUUAAAUACCGUUUCAAGUGCUACGCAGUUUCUUAAAAUAUAGGGGCGGUUGUGGCUUUAAGUGCUGCUUCCUUUGUCUGACGCCAAUGUCCGCCAAACAUUUGUUGCACCUGACGAGUCUAUUACUAUGGUAACGAAGUAAGUGAACAUGAAAAUGCUUACAGUGAUACUCACUGGUCUUGGAUCUCGGCUCUCGCGGACCAUCGACGGUCACCUUGAUGGCUUUCGUGUAGGUGGCGACCUGCGGAGGUGACGUGGACACCGUUAUCGUCAAGGUGAAACUUUUCCCUGCACAAAAAUACACAUUUCAUUACUGUUAUUUGAGGAAAAAAAUAUGUCCAACGUUUGGACGAUUUGUGCAUAAUAUGUGUUCAGUGCUUCAACGCGUGUAAAGCUUGACUUUUAUCGUAUCACGCGAGGACUAAACGCGGAAUACACGAGGAAGCUAGAAGGCCUGCAAAGGGAAAUUGCCGACCGUUUUAGAAGACGAAUGGGUCGGGAGGGGAAGAAGAAUCGUGAAACGCGAAAUGAAGUCGUGGUAAAAAGGUAUAAAAAAUAGUAAAAUACGUUGCCGCACGCACGAUGCAAAACUCAGUAGGUACACGCAGAGGUUCACCGCAACGUACUACCCUGACCCAACAUUCCACCACCGAGUUCCGCAGCACGCGAACUGCUUCUGCACGUUUGACGACGCAAAAAAGUCUAACAACAAUUGUGUUUACACGAUAGCGUGUUGUGCGGGUGCUGCUGAUAUGAACAGCUUCUUGGAUCGCCUUGCAAGCUCGGGACACACACUCCAGGGAAAGGUGAUUGAAGGUUAAAAUUGGACAGCCAAAUCUUCAAGUGGAAUCAAAGCGAAAAAAACAUUUUCACUUUGCGAACCGUUCCUGUUCUCUUCGUGAAAUUUUCAAAGCGGACGGAUCCUGUAAUUUCACGUAGAAUUUCGCUGCAGCCUGCAGGUAUCAUUUUAAAAUGAAGUAGGUACGGAUGUUCGAACGGUUUCAAAUUCCAUUUCCGUUAGUAACCGCUAAUCCAAAUUGGAAAGUUUCAGAUCCAAGGACAAAUACAACAAAUCCGACGAAUAUUAUUCAUGUUCGUAACUCACCCCUUCCGCUUCUACCAACGAAUCUAAGAUCGUUGAACUUGGCAACUUGGUUCUUCAUCAGAGCCGUCGAAUUCCGAAGAUCCGCACAGCAG